rnacentral:rRNA from 1 species
GUCGACGAACUCUUCGGAGUUGUGGCGGACGGGUGAGUAACACGUGGGAACGUGCCUUUAGGUUCGGAAUAACUCGGGGAAACUUGUGCUAAUACCGAAUGUGCCCUUCGGGGGAAAGAUUUAUCGCCUUUAGAGCGGCCCGCGUCUGAUUACCUAUUUGGUGAGGUAAAGGCUCACCAAGGCGACGAUCAGUAGCUGGUCUGAGAGGAUGAUCAGCCACAUUGGGACUGAAACACGGCCCAAACUCCUACGGGAGGCACCAGUGGGGAAUCUUGCGCAAUGGGCGAAAGCCUGACGCAGCCAUGCCGCGUGAAUGAUGAAGGUCUUAGGAUUGUAAAAUUCUUUCACCGGGGACGAUAAUGACGGUACCCGGAGAAGAAGCCCCGGCUAACUUCUUGCCAGCAGCCGCGGUAAUACUAAGGGGGCUAGCGUUGCUCGGAAUUACUGGGCGUAAAGGGAGCGUAGGCGGACAUUUAAGUCAGUGAAAUCCCGGGGCUCAACCUCGGAAUUGCCUUUGAUACUGGGUGUCUUGAGUUGAAGAGGUUGUGGAACCAUGUAAGGUGAAAUUCGUAAUAUUCGAAGAACCCAGUGGAAGCGACACUGGCUCAUUACUGACCUGA